rnacentral:pre_miRNA from 1 species
UAGACAUUCUGAUACUCCAUUGUUUGUAUGACUCCUUGAACAAUGUGGUUCAGAAUGUUGU